rnacentral:tRNA from 1 species
GGGGGAGUGGCGAAAUUGGUUGAAACGCAUCAGGUUUAAAUUCUGACACUCUAUGAGGAAACGUUGUGGGUUCGAGUCCCACCUCCCCUAC